AAGAGCGAGAGAAAGAGAGAGAAGAAGCUUUUAUUUCUCUGCCUCUUCUUCAGAUUCUUUUAGGUGGUUUUGUGGCCGUUGUUGUCGGUGUUGUUGUUGUUCUC